rnacentral:rRNA from 1 species
UGCCACAGCCAUAUCACCCUGCAGCCCAAGAUCGGUUACUCACUGAAGCUAAGCAGGGCUGAGCCUGGUCAGUACCUGGAUGGGAGACCACUAGGGAACACUAGGUUGCUGUUGGAA